CGAACGGGUGAGUAAUGCGUGACCAACCUGCCCCAUGCUCCAGAAUAGCUCUUGGAAACGGGUGGUAAUGCUGGAUGCUCCAACUUGACGCAUGUCUUGUUGGGAAAGUGUUCAGUGGCAUGGGAUGGGGUCGCGUCCUAUCAGCUUGUAGGCGGGGUAAUGGCCCACCUAGGCUUCGACGGGUAGCCGGCCUGAGAGGGCGGACGGCCACAUUGGGACUGAGAUACGGCCCAGACUCCUACGGGAGGCAGCAGCC
rnacentral:rRNA from 1 species